rnacentral:rRNA from 1 species
GUUUAUCAAAAACAUAACUACAUGAUUAUACAUGUGGCGCUUUCUGCUCAAUGAUUGUUUAAAUAGCUGCAGUACUCUGACUGUGCAAAGGUAGCAUAAUAAAUUGGCUCAUAAUUGGAGUCUAGUAUGAAGGAAAACAUGAGGAGUAACUUUAUUUAAAAUAUUAAUCGAAAUUAAUUAAUACGUGAAAAUGCGUAUAUUUAAAAUAAUAGACGAGAAGACCCUAAAAAUUUUAAUUAUAUUGUCGACUAAUGUUUUUGCUGGGGCGGCAUGAUAACAAUUAACUUAUAUAUAUUGAACAUGGAGUGUUUAUACCGUUAGAUUAAAUUACUUUAGGGAUAACAGCAUAAUUUAUAAAAAGUUUGUGACCUCGAUGUUGGAUUAGGUAAAUGAAACUUAGAAGGUAUACAUUAGUGCUCUGUUCGAGCUUUUUACACCUACGUGAUCUGAGUUCAG